rnacentral:rRNA from 1 species
UACGUAGGGUGCAAGCGUUGUCCGGAAUUAUUGGGCGUAAAGAGCUCGUAGGCGGUUUGUCGCGUCUGCUGUGAAAACGCGAGGCUCAACCUCGCGCCUGCAGUGGGUACGGGCAGACUGGAGUGCGGUAGGGGAGAUUGGAAUUCCUGGUGUAGCGGUGGAAUGCGCAGAUAUCGGGAAGAACACCAAAGGCGAAAGCGCUCUGCUGGGCCGAAACUGACACUGAGACGCGAAAGCCAGGGAGCGAACGGG